AGCGAACGUUAGCGGCGGGCCUAACACAUGCAAGUCGAGCGAGAAAGGGGCUUCGGCCCUGAGUAAAGCGGCGGACGGGUGAGUAACACGUAGGUAAUCUUCCCUUGAGCGGGGGACAACGGUCCGAAAGGACCGCUAAUACCGCAUACGUUUCCGAGGACCCUGGUCCUUGGAAGGAAAGCUAGGCCGCAAGGUCCGGCACUCGAGGAGGAGCCGGCGUCGCAUCAGCUAGUUGGUGGGGUAAUGGCCUACCAAGGCGAAGACGCGUAGCUGGUCUGAGAGGAUGAUCAGCCACACUGGGACUGAGACACGGCCCAGACUCCUACGGGAGGCAGCAGUGGGGAAUAUUGGACAAUGGGCGCAAGCCUGAUCCAGCCACGCCGCGUGAGUGAUGAAGGCCUUCGGGUCGUAAAGCUCUGUGGGGAGGGACGAACCGCUGCACGUGCAUAGCGUGCAGCAUGACGGUACCUCCUUAGCAAGCACCGGCUAACUUCGUGCCAGCAGCCGCGGUAAAAC
rnacentral:rRNA from 1 species